AGGGUUCGAUAUGGCUCAGAUUGAACGCUGGCGGGAUGCUUUACAUGCAAGUCGAACGGCAGCACGGACUUCGGUCUGGUGGCAGUGGCGAACGGGUGAGUAAUGUAUCGGAACGUGCCUAGUAGCGGGGGAUAACUACGCGAAAGCGUAGCUAAUACCGCAUACGCCCUUCGAGGAAAAGCGGGGGGACCUUCGGGCCUCGCACUAUUGAAACGGCCGAUAUCAAGUUAAAAGCUAGUUGGUGGAGAUGUGGCUCCACCGGGCG
rnacentral:misc_RNA from 1 species